GGCGGGGGGGCGGCGGCGAGAAGCCCUCCCCUCUGCCCGGCGCCCCCCCCCGGCUGCGCCGCCCGCCCGGCGCCCCCCGCCGCCCGGCAGCAGCGCCUCCGACCCGCCACCCAUCGCUGGAUGUUCCUCCACUUUACCCACCGUAUCAAACAACUUUUACCAGUAAAUAUCGGUUUAUUCCUGAAACCAGAAGCCCUAAACAUACCUUUGUUUAUAAGUUUUCCUGCUCUGCAUCUCUGGGAACUGGAGCCCGCAGGACCUAGAGCCUUCUGUUGCAGUUUGCAUCCGUGCAGCCAGGGCUCGGGUGGAAAUCCAGCCACUACGAGGAGUCUCUCCAGUCCCGGCGAGAGGCGAGAUGCCUGGCGGUGCUGCCACGGUCCUGCCAUCCCUGGCACCGACUGCAGUCGGAGCUCGUGCACUGGUGUACCAAGCCUCAGAACCACUGCUUUCUCCAGCUCAUAGGAUGCUUUUCCGAGACUGUGGAUACGUGUUUGUGUACUGCUGUGUUGAUAAGUAAAUGCCAACGAUGGAGUUCGUUGCUUUUAUACAUCCCAAAGAGAAGUUCUCCACCGUUCAUUUUCUGUUUUCUGACCGAAAAGGCGUGUGUUUGUGAACAGUGUUCACGCAAGUUCUGCCAUCCCACUCUCACAUCAGCUUAUACCAAUGCCAGGAUGGGAGGAUUUGCCUGCGUACCUUCCCCAAAACACCCCGGUCCGCAGUGGCAUCGUCAGGGAGCAGUUCAAAUGUGUGUCCUUUGGGCUUUGUGUAAAGCAAACGCAGAACAAGAAAAAUCAAGAUGUUAAAUCCAUUAGAAAACAAAUUCCUUAUUGUACAGUAGUAUGGAGAUCUCUAGUCAACCUGCCAUUAAUAAUAGAUUCUUAUUUUUUGAAUGAUCUAUUUAAAAGAACAGCAAGCAUUGUAUUUGCUAGUAAAUCUGAAGUGUUUACAUGGAAUUACUAAAUAAAUUAUUUGAUCUAAGAUGGCUCUCAUCAGUGCUGAUUUUUAAUGCUGGAAAUUAAUUUUGGCAGCUGCUUUUUUAGUUCGUGCUGUUCUUUAAAAUCUUCCAAAGCAGAUUUUUUCAAUGCAUCCUUGUGUUUUAAAUUAGGUUCUGAGGAAGACGCAAAGCAUGCCUCUCCCUGCAAGAUCUGACAGGAGUGCUAGCUAAUGUUUUC
ensembl:lncRNA